GGCCGCGACCAUACCACGUUGGAAACACCGGUUCUCGUCCGAUCACCGCAGUUAAGCAACGUUGGGCCCGGUUAGUACUUGCAUGGGUG
rnacentral:rRNA from 1 species